CCUACGGGAGGCAGCAGUGGGGAAUAUUGCACAAUGGGGGAAACCCUGAUGCAGCGACGCCGCGUGAAGGAAGAAGUAUUUCGGUAUGUAAAGCUCUAUCAGCAGGGAAGAAAAUGACGGUACCUGAGUAAGAAGCCCCGGCUAACUACGUGCCAGCAGCCGCGGUAAUACGUAGGGGGCAAGCGUUAUCCGGAUUUACUGGGUGUAAAGGGAGCGUAGACGGUGUGGCAAGUCUGGAGUGAAAGGCAGGGGCUCAACUGCUGGACUGCUUUGGAAACUGUCAGACUGGAGUGCAGGAGGGGUAAGUGGAAUUCCUAGUGUAGCGGUGAAAUGCGUAGAUAUUAGGAGGAACACCGGUGGCGAAGGCGGCUUACUGGACUGUAACUGACGUUGAGGCUCGAAAGCGUGGGGAGCAAACAGGAUUAGAUACCCGAGUAGUC
rnacentral:rRNA from 1 species